ACGAGCCCCCUCAACCUUUUCCCCAACUUCCCCCUCGCCGCCGGGGCCGAACCUCGCCGGAAAACGGCCGCCCGAACCUCCCCUGUACUGUCCCGUCCGCCAAGGACCCAUGCUGAGAAGAAAUAGAAGUUCAGGGGCCUAGAUGCAAAAGUACGAUAGAUGAACCACGUGAAGGACGUGAUAUUGGAACCGAACACGAAGACGAUGUUUGGUGGACAUAUCCAGAAGAGGCAAAGAACCAGGAGUACAUGCUUGGACCGGAAUACUCGUCAAGCAAGUGUCAUCUAACUAACACUGACUUAGUGUUAAUCCCAGGCAAGCCCCGGUGCAUGUCCUAUUAUUUUAAAUUAUGCUUCACUAUAUAUAUGUUUUAUCUAUUACUUGUGCAUUACGUAUUAGGAAUUGAUUGGAACCCUCGCUGCAUGAUCCUUAGGUUUCCCCGAAUUUUUACUAGUAUGUCUAGGUCGAUAGUGGUGCCAGGCUAAAAGAGUCCGGUAAAAGUCGGGUGACUUCGUGUCACUCGCGAGACAUAGGAAACUUUAGAAGCCGAGUAAUUGCCGGUUACUCGCGAGAUACAUUAUUAUCUUUAUACUUCAGUAUUUGUGAAAUGGAUUGUAUUGGAUAUGGAGAUGUGAGACCGGGCGGGAAUGAUGGAUAGGUAUGGCAGCAGGACAGGGUUUCUGUGUGUCUUAGUCCCGUCCGUGUCGAUUAAGGACCGGUCGUUGUGGCAGUGCUGAUCGGGGAUUGAAUUGUACUAACCGCAUGCCGGAAGUAGGAGGUAGUCGAAACCGGUAAGCCGAGUACUGCCUUGCUUCGAAAGUACAGGAACCCGCACCCAACUCCUGGGGCGAGUCGAGUAGUCGCGGAGAAUUGGGUUGCAUAUGUUUACUUUUGGUGGUCUCACGUUGAGCUCGGCUGACCAUAUGUCGUUGGGCUGGUUCCUGUAGUUCGAGGCGGGGAGGGGAAUGGUUGGCAUGUAUAGUCCGACGGGGCCAAUACGUGCCGUGUUGGUUAGGUCCACCUUGCAAGGUUAAAUCGGAUCGAUUCGCCGUGUCUCGCGGUUAUGAGGGCCUUGGUCUCUUUGUCACACCGUAGCGAAUGAGCUAGAGUUUUAGAGAUAUAAAAAUGGAUAUAAAUUCUUAAUCUUAUUUGGAUGCUCCACCUGUGUGUGUAGACAGGCAAACUUUAGUGUGAGUCUAGCUAUAUAAAAUAUGUGGCUAAAAUGUUGAAAGUAAGGAUACACUUCUAGUG